ACCGUCCCUUCCCCAAAUAGUGACAAGCACUGUCGCUGCCCCAGGACAGCCGGGGCGCUGGGCAAUGUUUCUUGCUGCUGAGCGGAUAAAAAGCUGCAUAUCUAAAUAAACAGCUCCAGUAAAGUCAGAGUGCACUUCAGGCCCAUGCUGACGAGAGGCGGCUGCUGCUGGCAGUUUGUUCAGACAGUGUGUUAUGUUUCUUUCCAUUGUUUUUUCUGCUGCUGGUGCGUGGCUUCGCUUUCCUCCCCAUCCUGGCAGCGCUGAGGAGCAGAGACCUCCCUGAUUCCUUCAUUCCACCCGGAUUCCUUCAAUCCACCCCUGACGGGCGGCAGCUGCAGGAGCAGAGCUGGCGAUGUCUGCAUGGGGCAUUAACCGGGAGGGGGUUGGAUCAGCUGCAGGUGGGAGCCUGUUUUACAGGUAAUUUGGGCACAGCCCUGGCUGCCAGCCCUGCUCUGGGGCUGCUCGCGCCCCAGUGAGCAGCUGGAUCCAACCCUGGCCCCGUCUCUUGCCCUCGGAGGCUCCGUGUGCUGGGGGAGGCUCCUGGGCACCUUCCCUGGGGGAGCAGCCCCGGGCAGCAGCAGCUGCGGGUCCGGGCCGGCGGUGCGCGGGGCCCUUUGCGCGGGGCCCUGCAUGCGGUGCCGGCAUUUCCUCGUGGAACAGUGUCGGCUGUGCCUGAAGCCGCCGGUGCUGCUGCCCGGCUUCUUGCGGUAAGCGCUUGCCCCACAUGUCCCGGCCGUUGUCCCUGUGGCGUAGGUUCUUCCCUCGGUGUGCAACAAGCCAGUCCACGCAGAGCGGAGAGGUUUGGGUUCAUGUUGGCUCUGCAGAGCCGGGUGCUGGGCGCUGACGCAGCCAGUGCAGUGCUGGGCUCGGUUCAGCUCAGAUUUACAGUAACGAGAUGCAGAUGUGGGUGAAUAACAGUUUUCUUUGCCACAUGUGAUUGCACAUUGUCAUGUUGAUGCAUUUUGCUUCAUGUUUAAAACAUUUAGUUGCAUAAUUAUCAUGCUCAUUAUUCAAAAAGCAGUGCGUAUUUUAGUAUUAUAAUUACCUAAGGUUAGUUAAGGACUCACGCUUAUCUGAAUUUUGUUCCAAACUCUAUGUCGGCAACGAAAAGAUGUACGCAGCAGGAGCUGGCCCCCGUCCCGUCCCGUCCCGGGGCGUUCCGCGCUGGCGGGGUCGCCUCACGGCUUCACCGCAGACCCCCGGAAUCCCGCACUCUGUCAUUUUUACCCGACUCUUCGACACCCCCGCGGGCGGGCGGGCCGGUGCCGGCAGCCGCCAGCAGGGGGCGGCAGGAACCAGCCGCCGCCAGCAGGGGGCAGCAGCCGCCCGCGCAGCGCAGCGCCGCGGGGCCGGGGGCGGGCGGCGCCGGACGGGUUCGGGGGCUCGUCCCGGGUUCGGGGGCUCGUCCCGGGGCCGCGCUCCGCAGCUCCGCGGUACGAGCCAGGCGAGCCGGCCCGGUUCCCGUCCCCUGCGCUCCGGCGCUCGGUGGCGGCAGCCGCGGCAGGUGCUGCCGGGGUUCGGCGAUCCGCAGCCACCGUGCCUGCCCUCGGGAAGAGCCCGUGGCUCUCUGGUGUCUCCAUCGUGUAGCUGGAUGAUGCCCCUGAGUGUGCAGGUUCAUGUCCCCAUCUGUGCGGGACACCUGCGGGCGCUCCUUUUAGCAACGCCCGAGCGCUGCUGCGCGCUGCUGGGUAACAGCUCGGGGGAGCAGCGGCCGCUGGGCUGGGUGGCGCGCGCGGGCGGGAUGGUGGAGUGGAGCAUCUCCCGAGUGAGGAAAGGCUGGGGGAGCUGGGGAAGAGAAGACUGAGGGGUGACUCAUUCAUGGGGAUCAAUAUGGAAAGGGGGAGUGUCAGGAGGAUGGAGCCAGGCUCUUCUGGUGACAACCAGUGACAGGACAAGGGGCAAUGGGUGCAAACUGGAACACAGGAGGUUCCACUGAAAGGUGAGAAGCAACUUGUUGGGGGUGAGGGUGGCAGAGCCUGGCCCAGGCUGCCCAGGGGGUUGUGGAGUCUCCUUCUGUGCAGACAUUCCAACCCGCCUGGACACCUUCCUGUGUAACCUCAUCUGGGUGUUCCUGCUCCAUGGGGGUAUUGCACUGGAUGAGCUUUCCAGGGCCCUUCAGCCCCUGACAUCCUGUGAACACUGUGUGUGCUUUAAAGGGACACCGGAGGGCACUCUGGCAGGCUGCCACUUGUCAUGCUCAUAGCUAAUGAAUGAAAAAAAUUACAUAAAAAUGAAAUGUAAAGGAAAUGGUAGCAGAAUUUAGAGUGAUUAAUGCUUUGAACCUGGACGUGAAGCGCAGCAAGUGCUUUCAGUCUCGCUGAGUGAAUUAAAUAAUCCAAAUUAGUAAUACGUUUUAAUUUUUUUUCUUGUGUAAAGGCAAUAAAGUGCUUUUAGCAAAUGAGGUAAAGAUUUUCCAUCCGUAUUUGGAACAAAAAGGGAGCACUGUGCCAUGGCGCGGGCCAUGCGUGGCCGUCCCGUCCCAUCUCCGGGAGUCCCUCAGCCCCACCAACAGCACUGUGGGUGCUCCUGGAGCUGCCCUGGCUUGGAGACGCUCUCUUGCAUUGCCUUUGUUGAAGAGGGUAUGCAUUAAUUGCUAAGGACAUAUAUUAAUUGCGCCUGUGUCACUUGUGGCUGGACUGCACGCGGUUUUAAUGUUAAUGUGUUCUUUGGAUGUCUCCUCCCCGCUCCGGCGUUUGCCAGAACAACGUCCCGCUCUCCCUGGCACUGCAGCCCUAGUGGUUGGACUCGGAGAUCUUGCAGGUCUUUUCCAGCCCUUGGCUCUGCAGUGCAGACGUGUGGCGGCUGCAUCGCCUCCCUGAACACCCCGAGCACCCACCUGCAGGCUCGGUCCCUAUGGACACACAGGGCAGGCGGCGCUCAGCGGCCCCGGGCUGCAGCCUCAUCCUGCUCUGCAGCUGCUGCAGGGCUCUGUGCAGCUGGGAACCCUUGGCCACGGCAGCGGGGCCGGAAAGCAGCACCGUGCUCCUGGUGGCCUCGGGAUCGCUGCUCUUGCCAGCCGGUGGAGGGAAACAGCUGGUGAAGUGAUUCGCUUUAAGUGUUUCAUGAGAGCAAAGUGCAGGAAAUGGAAUUCACUGAAUUUUAAAUACAUCUCACUCAUCGGGAUCAGAGUAACUGUUGUAGGUGAUCCAGUAUUGCUCUGCACUGCAGAGACACUUCAUCCAGAAAUCCCCAGAAAUCUUUACGAGGCUUGUGCUUGGAGUACUGGAUGCUGCAGAAUCAGUGGGAUUUGUGUCUUGGAAACGAAGCUCCAGCACUGGAGAAAAACUCAUCCCAGCCCUUUAAAUCUAAUGAAACCCGUUGUCAGCAUCCAAAGGCCAGACACCCUCCUGGCAGCUCCUAAUUCCACCCUGAGCGGCCAUCAGUGUGAAUAAGGAGAUCUCUGUGGGCAUGCAAAUGUCUUCGGUUCUAUUUAACAAGGAUAAAUAUCUUAAUUAAGAUAACAAACUGCCUGGGGGAUUUUGAAGAUGAGAUGAGCCCGUGCUGCAGAGCAGAGCUUGGCAGGGACGCUCUGCCUGCUCUUCCAGGGGCUCAGCAGCCUCUGGUGGCCACGGUGGCCGCGGUUCUGCCGCCUCUGGUGGCCGCGGUUCUGCUGCUGGUGCAGGCGCCCGUGACACCGGGGGCUCCCGAGGGACAGGUGACGGUGCUGCCACCAGCCCAGGCCCCAGAGGUGGCUCAGGGCAAACGUGCUCAGUGCCCAUCCCAAUGGGGCUGAGCAAUAAAUGCUCUUGGCAGAGCAGCUUUGACCAUCCCUUUGCGCGCUGCUGGUGAAGACAUGAAACUUGUGAUGAAUUUCUGUCUUCAAACUGUUGCUAUAUCUGUUUGAUUCUUUUUCAUCCCCUUCCUAGAAGCCAAUGUGUAUUGGCAAGCUCUGGAAAACAAUGUUAUGGUUGGUUUGUCUUCUGAAAAGUGCUAGGAAAUGCUUUAAAGAGCUGACAGCUAAACUGCCCUGGAGAUGUUAUUUCAUUCAAGCCGUACUUUCCCAUUCUGGCAGUAUUUCUCUGCAAUUCCCUUCUGACUCCUUUGCUCACUUGUUUGCCUCUUGCCAUUUAAACCUUAGGUGGUCCCGCUGAGCAGUGUGGGAGCGCAGGAGCCGGGGCCAUGAGGGGAGGGGGUGUCUCAAUUUGGGACAUUCUGGGUGUGUAUCUCUGCUCACUCCAGUGUGAGUUCACGUCUGCGGCAGAAAGGCUGGAGGGGCCAGCAGGGGUUCCUCAGCACCAGGGUUUCUGUGUCUUUCAUGAAAACAACCUUCCUGGCACAAAAAGCUGCUCCCGUGCUGCCGGUCGCGGUGCUGCCAGUCGCGGUGCUGCCUGGGAUGAGCAUCACUGCGGCUCGGCGGGACCACUGGUCCCGGUGGAUGGAGCCGGGACCCAAGACCCCCGCCCUGGGGCUGUGGACCCGCCAGGCCAAGCCGGGCCGGGCAACCAGCUCGGGUUGUUGCUUUCCUUUCCCGAGCACCCAUGUUCCCUCAACCCAAUGGACACGGCGUCUGGUUUCCAAACCUCGUGUUGCCACAGGACACGCUCGCAGUUUCUGCUUUCCCGUGUUCGGGGAGGGAGUUGCUGCCGGUGUUACUAAUGGACUGCUGCUUUUAGCCUGAGUGCUGCGAGCCAGGAAUUGGAGAGUCAAUUAAGUAAUUACCUGGUGUUUCAGCUGUCAACACAUGAGGCUCUUUGUUUUUUACCAUUGGCGUCAAACCCUCCAUGCCUUUUACCCCGACUCAUCAGCGAUAAUUCGCCCGAACCGCGGGUUCGGGUGGAUGUGUGAGGGGGUGCGGAGCGGGGGCCCCUCCUGCCCCUCGGAGCUGCCCCCGGUCGCUGGGCUGCGGAGGGGGUGGCACUGGUCACCGCGGGCUGGUCUCUGCUGGGACACACCGCUCAAAGGCACUGUUUCUUCCCUGAAGAAACAUGGAAAAAGAAAACACGGGUAAGCAUUGCUAAGGAGAAGGAACCUGCUUUCCCAUUUCUUGUUGGCCUUAGCUCACUUCUCCAGAAGGGACUUUCAGUACGAUAACGAACUGUUUUAUAGCAGAGAACAUGUUCUGACUGCUACAAGUGAGCUGAUGAAUGAAACGAGAAGCACCAGUAGUGAGGCUGAUUAACCACAAUAAAUCCUGCAAUCUAGAGAACGUGUCAGCCGCUGAGCGCGCAGGACACGCGAUGGUGGAAAAUCUCAUUACUGAGCAGCCAGGCACCGCGUUAUUCGAAAUACAAAUGUGCAAAUUAGCCACGAUGAAAGGCCAAGCUGUCAGAAGCAUGAGCUGUUUGCAUCUUGUUGCAAAGGUCCAAGUAGAGCCCAUUUCGUUGUAAAAGAUGUCAGAGGCUGGGGGUUGGUGCUUGAAGACUGUCUCACUCUCCUGAUGGGAAACUGAGGUUUGCGGCUGUGACACUGGGCAGUGGGGCUGGGACCCCCGGCCGCGCGAGCCGCAGGGCCCGCAGCAGCACCAAGGGGUUUGCUGCAAAAGACGCUGCAGGGAUUUUCCAUAGUGUGACGGUAAUUCCUCCCUGUGCUGCCGGGGUUGAUGGGCUGGCUGCAGCCGCCUGGCUUGGUCACACUGCGGUGGGCUCUGGCGUCUGCAGCGCCCCUGGCGCAACUUGGAGCCAGAGCUGCAAGUACCUGCUGAAGAAAUGUUAGAAAAAAACUCACAUGGGUUUUCUGGUCUUAGGUGUUUUUAGCAAACCACAGCCUCACCCACAAGCUGUUUCUAUCAGCCCCCAGUUAGUUGUGAGUUCAUUUUGAAUGACCCAGACGGCAUCGGUUGGGAAAAAAAUUGAGAAAGGGUCUGUGGGGCCGGUCUCUGGUGGUGCCGAGCGAGCAGCAUCACGGGGCGCUGGACACGCUGCUCGGCUCCGGCCCUGCCCGCGCUCCCGGCUCCUCCUCCUCAUCCUCGUCCUCCUCGCGCUGCCCGUUCCGUGGCUGGGCAGGGGUGCUGCUCGGCGCCGGCGGUGCCCGGUCAGUGUGUGCGCAGCCAAGCAACGCCUGACCCUCGCCCUGCUCCCGCUCUCCACCGGCUCCGUGCCCACGUCCUGGUCCCCGCCGCUCUGCCGCUCACCCUGCUAUCCAACGCUCCAACGCCGCUCCUGAGCAGCUCCGCUAUUGCUCCCCAGCGGCAGAUGAAUCUCAGAGCUGGGAGAGGGAUGACUCCUGUAUCAACUUUCCAUAUUCAGUUAACCGGAGCCUCUCUGGACGUGAAUGACGCCCCGCGGUGCUGCUCAGGUUUGCUCAGUGGGAAGGACCCGAGUGGUUUCUCGGAGGCUGGUGCAGUUUUCUGUUGUGGAGCAACCACGGGAACAGCUUUUCCUUUUAGUGAGAAGCUCUGAGCAAUAUGGAGAAAACCGGUUUAAGUAAAAAAUGCCGUUUUUCUCACACUGCGUUCAUGCAGAGAAGGAAACACAGCUCAGUAGGUGCAAAUUUACGGCGACAUUAUGGAAUGAACAAGAACACUUGGGCACGACCUCUGUGACCGUCUGCCACGCUGAGCGUCCGCUGAUUGAUGCUUCCAAAAGCCAUUUUACAGCCCAUUGAUUUGAUGAGCAGCGGUUAAGCCGGCGGAAUGAAGAGAUAAACGCGAGGUGGGUGACACAGAAUGAAGAGGUAAAUGCGCGGUGGGUGACAUGGAAUGAAGAGGUAAACAUGCGGUGGGUGACACAAGGAUUCACCGAGCACGGGGUCAAACCCACCACUCGGGAAGUGUAACACACAUCUUCAGUGGAGACGCAGGAGCAUCUUGACUGUGCUCCCAAGUCCUUCACUGAAAACAGCUUAAUCUGUGCAGGAAAGCUGAAAUAUCAACUGAGAAGCACUUCAAUUAACGUAUCGACAUUUUUGCCUUUGUAUUUCACCUAUUUCACUCAUUUUGCCUCUGCAUGGGCAUGCAAAAUGCUGAGGAACGAGGGGCUGAGCGCUGCCUGCGGGGGGCUGGGACGCCAGCUGUGGGGGUUGCUGGUACUAUUUCAAAAGCACCCAGCAUCCUCGCUUUUCCAUAAGGAGCUGAAUUAAUUUUGUUCAGCUUUUUUUGGGGGGAAAAAAGGAAUCGCACCUAGUCUGAGAACCAAGCAGCCAAACAGAGGCCUGAGCCAAAAAGCUGGCGAGAGAACGGGCUGUUGGAGAUGAUCAAAUAGAAUGGAAAAUAUUACAGACGCAGCAAUGCAUCUAACUGUGCCCAGCUUAUCAGUUCCAUAGUUUUUAUAUUGGAAUAACUCAGAGCUAGUGAGAUUAGUCACGAUUUUCAUAAUGUUUAUUGGAUCAGCAUCAGUGUCCAAAUGGGAGGUAUCGCAUGUGCUAGAACAACGGCUUUCUAACGUCAACCAGCAUCUGCUGUGGCCAAGGACCAAAAUCAGCAAAGGCUAAUUCAUCGAUGCCUUAUUAUUUGAGCUUGUGUCCCUGUCUCGAGCCGGGGCUGCGAUGAGCUGCCCAUCAAGCAGUUGCUGGCAUUUCAUGCUGCCCUUAGGUCAGGUCUAACUCAAUCAGCAUCGGUUUAUUAUGAAAUGCCCAGAGUGAUUUUACUCAUUCUGUCGAUCUCAAAACAGUUCAAGAGAAAGUCUAAAUAUUAUUUCUGGCUCCUUCAGCCACUAACAGUUUUUUCAUGGAAGUUUCCAUGCUGCUCUGCGAAACCGUGAGAUUUUUUUCCGCUGAUUUACAUUGCCCUAAACGCUUUGAAAUAGACUGAAAAAAAAGCGAGAAAGGAUUUAGUUUAUGCUUUCAAGGCAUUUCUGCAUGAAGGAGCAGCCCCUGGGGGCCUGUGGCACCAACAGGGGCACCGGCCGCUCGUGUGUCACCGGCCGCUCGUGUGUCACCGGCCCGCGGAACCCCCGCCGUGGUCACAACACAUUUCAGCGCCGGCUGUGAGCGCUGUGCCUGAGGAGGUUCUGAGCUCCCUCUGGUCCCCAGUGCCCCGAAGGCAGCAGCCAAUGCUCCUUUGUCCUGCAAAGAAAACGUGAGGGGUAAUUAAAAAGAACUCUCCUAGAUUAUGGGUCUUUGUGUCCUAUGCAGAGCAGGGAUUCAUUUAUUUGUGUUCCAUGUGACUGGCCUAUGAUAUGGAUCAUAAUCCCAAUAUAUAACUUGCUCCUUACCUUGAUUUUGAAGAUCAUAUCUUUUGGCCUCUCAAAGAGAUUUUACAGCAGUAAAGCAAAUUUUAUUCCUUUUGAAAUGGAAAUGGAACUUUUGAUGGGUGGGCAAUGCAUGAGAUGUUGUAUGAUGCAGUGGUGUUCUGGUUGCAUUUUCAGCCAUGGCAAAACCAGCAAUAGAGCUGGGGAACACCGGAGCAGGCGCUCGGCUCCGCAGCUGAGUUCCCAGCCCUGCUCAGGACAGCGAGGAGCAGCUGAGCUCCUGGCCGGGCUCAUACCGGUGGGUUUAGAGCUGGGAACAGACUAAACUGCCCCGAGAGCCAUGGCUGAGCAGAGCCAGGGCUGUCACCGGCCGGGGGACAGGACAAGUGACAACCGACAGCAGCGACGCCUGCGAGAGCUGCUCAGAAGGCAUUUCGCUUGUUUAAGAAGGUGCUCCCCAGCCGAGCGCUGCCUGCAGAGCCGGAGCCUCGUGCCCUCGCCCGUUGCUGCAGGACGAGGCUCUGCCAGAGCUCCUGGCUCCGUCUGUCCCGCACGCCCACCGCCACGGCUCCGACCGCCCACGCUGCUCCGUCCCUCCCGGGUCCGGCUGCUUGUGCCACAAACCACAGCUCUUUCCUGGGUGAAAAGCCCCACAUGAGCUCAUUCUCUGUUUGCUCAGGACAUAGCACCUCAAGUUCAUCAUAACGUACAUCAAUCUCCAGAUAUGUUAUUUAUGUAUUUAAUUACUUUUUAAAAAACCCUUGGCCUUCUUUAAAUUAAAAAGGUUGAGCAGGGUAUUCUAUACCAAUGUAGGCACAUUUUAUUCCAUGCUGUUCUCCACUACACACUGUUCUCAGCUGAAACACUCACCAGCGAAGCAGCACACACUGGACAGCGGGUCCCUUCCUUGUGGCGCUGGUGGUGCCACCCACCCGCGCUGACCCGUGUCACACGUUCUGCUCCUUGACCCCACAAGGUGGGACUGGCCGAAUCGCGCUCGGUGUCACCGCGUGGCCGCAGCGUCUGCCCCAAGCGCUACAGCCGCAUUGUCACCUCAUGGCCGCAGCGUCUGCUCUGAGCGCUACAGCCGCAUUGUCACCUCAUGGCCGCAGCAUCUGCUCUGAGCGCUACAGCCGCAUCGUCACCGCAUGGCCGCAGUGUCUGCUCCAAGCACUACAGCCGCAUCGUCACCGCGUGGCCGCAGUGUCUGCUCCAAGCACUACAGCCGUAUCACCUCAUCACCAGAGACGCCCCUGAAGCAGAAACGUGACAUUUCUUCAGUGCAUCCUGUCUCUGAAAAGGAUAUGAGAGAAAACAAUACGGCAUAUCUUGUUAGACUAACGCCGUCCUUUUUAAUGAACCAUUUGAGCUUGUGCCUAGAAGUAGGAAGGGGAAAAAGGAUAAAAUUCCCUUGGAAAAUUUCUCUCGGAAAAGAGAAUUUGGGCACAAGUACUAGGCAUUUGGUAGGAAUUAGAUGCUGACAGUGAGCACAGGAAUGGCCCAGUUUUCCUGCCCGUGCAAACAGAAAAUGCUGUCUCUGUUGCAGGAAUAUUAAGAGGAUAAAUACACUGAUAUUAGCGCAGUGCUUCAAACAUUGCCCUCCUGGUCUCGCGAGGUGUCUCCAGCCUGUGGGCUGCAGCAGGUGCUGGGGAGGUCACGGAAAAGUGUCUGAAGGCAGAACCGUCCAUGGCCGCGCUGGGGUAGUUGUGCUCUGACCCGUCCCUGCGUGGCGCGUGGGAGAUCCAGCCUGGUGAAACAACACCGUGCUUGCAGAGUGAACUUUCAGUAAGGUAAUUUACGUGUCUCAUUUAAGCUCUUCAGCUUCAUGCCUGAGAAGUCUGCAUUUUCUUCUAACGGUCUAUAGGAGUUCUUAGAUGACAAUCUGGGUAAUAGUGACUAUAAUUAGAAGAGUAAGGCAGGCAAAUUGAGUGCACUCUAGAGAGACCUUUGAGCCCAGCUUUAUGCACUCCUCUCCCGUAACACUCAACAGCAGAGCUGUUAAGAAGCGCUGGCAACGUGCUUCAGAUGGGGAGUGUGAGAUCACGGCAGCUCGGCCAGUCGUGCUGCCCGUUCCCUCUGAAAGAAACCUGCUCAGUGCCACCAGCUGCUAACGCAACCCGUGUCCCGGCUGGGUUUGUGAGUCAAGUAAAAUGGGAUCCAGGGUAGAAACGUGUCCCUGGGCAUGGCAAACACCUCCCGCUGCCUCCAGCAACGACGUGAUUUAAAGUCCCUGUGUUCGAACCCUUGUGACUUGCUGAAUGAAAAAGUUUGUGGGUGUUGAUUAAAAUAUACAUAAAUAUUUGUAGCUCAUCAUCUUGACUGCUUACAAAGCUUGGCAAGCAGAAACGGGACCAAGUGUAAAUUACUGAUGUGUUCAGGUGGUAUUGUGUUUUAGCUAAAACUGCUUACUGCAAAAAGACCAUGCUCUGUGUCUUUGCUGUGUUGCCGCGGCUCUGAACCGAUGCUGCACCUUUGGUUGAGCCAGGAGAGGACGGGCACUGGGUUUGGUGACAUCCUGGGCCACCCUUGUCCUGGUCACCUCGCGUUGGUCUGACGGGCUGUUCGGGCAGAUGGUGGGUUUGAAAUGCUGUUCUUGGCUUGGCACGGUGAAUAUUCAAUUGGCAUUGCUAUUGAAAGGAUUGCUUUGUCAGGGACUUCGUAUAUUCCCAUCUCAAGAGUUAGGACUUCAUGGUGGGAUUGUUUUGUUCUAACAUUCUCAACAUCAGGCUAAAUUUAGCCUGUAGAAAUCAAUAAAUCACUGCCAACUUUAAUAUAAAGGCAGAGUUAGGUCAAUGUUGAAUGUUUUUGAACAAUCUUACUCACGGUAUUUAGAGUCUUCUCUUUAGUUGGGAAUGACGUGACGAGGAACUUUCCACUGCUUUAAAUGUUAAGGAAUCUCUGAAAAUAUUUAGAAACAAUUAAAAGUGUUCUAUGGUUUGGGUUUUUAUUUGUUUUGUGAAGUACAGCAUGUUCUUCGGCAGAUGUUCAUCCACUCCACGUGCCCGUGUCCCAGCGGCUGGUUUCCAUGGUGCGUUUGUACUUCUAUCAGACGGUGUGUCCAGCGACACGUGCACACGAGAGGCAGCCCCCGGUGGGUGCUUGGUUGUGAGAGCGACCUCCCGAGGGCAGCUGGAGACGAGCCCUCUGCCCGGAGCACCGAGAGGCAGAACCGUUCCGUAAGCAGCGCGGAAGCACCACGUGGGAACUAGCAGUUUUUACAUCAUUAACUUGUGCACAACCACCUGGGAGCCAUGUAAACUCCUCUCAAAUAUUUUCUUUGUCUCAACAGUCCCCAUGAAAAUGAGCAGCUUUUGGAGCUUUGCUUCGUGCCAGGCUGCCCCAGCUCCUGCCAAGCACGUCCACAUUUCUCUGCUAAGGGAGCAGGGCAGUGGGCUUGCAGAACUUGCCUGGUCCCCACUGCUGUGUUAAUUUAAAUGAAUAUUGCAGGGGGUUGGGAGGAGGGUCUGUGUUCUCUCUUUUGGUGUUCUGGGUGUAAUAACAAAUUGUAGCUUGGUAAUUCAGCAAAAUAAACUAGCUUAGACUGCUACCGCAAAGCCCCAAGUGGCAAUAAACCAGCGGGAAGAUUCCUAUGGAGGGGGAUGAGUGUCCUGGCUCUGCAGGAGCCCUUGGCUUUCAGUCCGCUCCCCACGCUCCAGCAGGCUCCAGUGAGCAGCUGGGAACACUUGGGCGACCAAACUAGGCACAACCGGCCAUGCUGCCUGCAACGGGGCUGCUCUGGCUCUGACCGCAGCAUCCAGGUGACCGUACGGGCUCUCCGGGGCGUCCAGCUCUUUUUGAUCCCACACUUUUACCGUGGAAAUAGUUUAAGUUGCUUUUUAUUCAGCAGCAGCCUGUGUGGCUGGUGCUCAGCUGUAAACCCCUUGCCAUUUGCUGUUCAUCAGCCUACCAAAAUAAAAAUUAAACAUUGCUACAGUAAUGAAACCCUCAUGUCCGUGCCUGGGGAGGACAAGUUAAUUGCAAACCAAUAAGCUCAUGUCAGAACGUGUGUGAACCUGGAAUGAGAUCAGCAGAGCACGUGAGGGGAAAGAAAGAACAGAACAUUGAAAAAGAACCACAAGAGAUUGAUACAUAAUUUUUCGGAGCUUGCAGAGAAAGCAGAAGAAAUGGAUUCCUUGAGGUGAAAAGAAUGGGCACUUGAACGGCAAUGAAAUUAUUCUGUAAAUUCUAGCACUUUCAGCAAGUGCCAGACAGUAAUCAGAUCCGUUCCAAUAUAUACAUUCAGAGAUUCAUAACGCGUAAGGCCAGCAGAGACCACUACGAUUACCCCUUCUGACCUGCUCCAUCAUGCGGGCCAUGGAGAACCUUUUACACACACCUACGAAUUACUGAGUGCCAGUUCACAGAGCCUGACUUGACUUUAUCUGAUUCAAACCCAGGCCAGCACAAACCAGCAGUAAGCACAUGGAAAUUACGCUGC